rnacentral:rRNA from 1 species
UACGGGGGGGGCAAGCGUUGUUCGGAAUUACUGGGCGUAAAGGGCUCGUAGGCGGCCAACUAAGUCAGACGUGAAAUCCCUCGGCUUAACCGGGGAACUGCGUCUGAUACUGGAUGGCUUGAAUCCGGGAGAGGGAUGCGGAAUUCCAGGUGUAGCGGUGAAAUGCGUAGAUAUCUGGAGGAACAUCGGUGGCGAAGGCGGCAUCCUGGACCGAUAUUGACGCUGAGGCGCGAAAGCCAGGGGAGCAAACGGG